rnacentral:tRNA from 1 species
AGUCUUAUAUUCAAUGAUGAUUAUAGACUGCAAUUCUAUAGGUAUGUAGUUUUACAUUAAGGCUU